CAGUCGCCGCGGGAAUACGUAGGGUGCGAGCGUUAAUCGGAAUUACUGGGCGUAAAGCGUGCGCAGGCGGUUGUGUAAGACAGGUGUGAAAUCCCCGGGCUUAACCUGGGAACUGCGCUUGUGACUGCACAGCUAGAGUAUGGCAGAGGGGGGUGGAAUUCCACGUGUAGCAGUGAAAUGCGUAGAGAUGUGGAGGAACACCGAUGGCGAAGGCAGCCCCCUGGGCCAAUACUGACGCUCAUGCACGAAAGCGUGGGGAGCAAACAGGAUUAGAUACCCGCGUAGUCCCUGUCUCUUAUAA
rnacentral:rRNA from 1 species